UACAGAGGUCUCAAGCGUUGUUCGGAUUCAUUGGGCGUAAAGGGCGCGUAGGCGGCUCGGUAAGUAGGGGGUGAAAUCCUGCGGCUUAACCGCAGGGCUGCCUUCUAAACUGUCGAGCUCGAGCACGGUAGAGGCAGAUGGAAUUCCCGGUGUAGCGGUGGAAUGCGUAGAGAUCGGGAAGAACAUCAGUGGCGAAGGCGGUCUGCUGGGCCGUUGCUGACGCUGAGGCGCGACAGCGUGGGGAGCAAACAGG
rnacentral:rRNA from 1 species